UAGGAUUUGAUUAAGAUUUGGUUUAAGGUUUAGGAUUUGGAUUAGGGUUUGAUUUAGGAUUUAGGGUUUGGAUUAGGGUUCGAUUUAGGAUUUAGGAUUUGGAUUAGGAUUUUUUUAGGAUUUGAUUUAGGAUUUAAGAUUUACUUAGGGUUUGAUUUAGGAUUUAGGGUUUGGUUUAGGAUUUGGAUUAGGAUUUGAUUUAGGAUUUGGUUGGGGUUUGGUUUAAGGUUUAUUUAGGAUUUGAUUUAGGAUUUAGGAUUUUAUUAGGAUUUAAGAUUCAAUUAGUUUUGGCCUAAAGUUUGAAUGAAGUUUAAUAGGAUUUUAACUAGAAUUAAAUUAAGAUUGAAUUGAGAUGUAUUUGAGUGAUAUUUGUGAUCCUUCUAAUAUUUCUUUAAGAAUUCUCAUUGUUUAUUUGAAAUUUCUUUGAGAUUUUUUUUAAAAUUUGAUUAAGCUUGCUUA
rnacentral:lncRNA from 1 species